rnacentral:tRNA from 1 species
GCCUUCGUGGUGUAACGGUAGCACGCUCAGCGCGUAUUCGAGAGGUCUAGGUUCGAAUCCUGGCGAGGGCA